GGUUGACCUCGGAUCAGGUAGGGAUACCCGCUGAACUUAAGCAUAUCAAUAA
rnacentral:rRNA from 55 species